rnacentral:rRNA from 1 species
ACAGGCUUAACACAUGCAAGUCGAGGGGUAACGAGAGGAAAGCUUGCUUUCCUUGUCGACGACCGGCGCACGGGUGAGUAACGCGUAUCCAACCUGCCCCCAACUAGGGAAUAACCUUGCGAAAGUAAGACUAAUACCCUAUAAUUUCCUCAGAUGUCAUCUGACGAGGAAUAAAGAUUUAUCGGUUGUGGAUGGGGAUGCGUCUGAUUAGCUUGUUGGCGGGGUAACGGCCCACCAAGGCAACGAUCAGUAGGGGUUCUGAGAGGAAGGUCCCCCACAUUGGAACUGAGACACGGUCCAAACUCCUACGGGAGGCAGCAGUGAGGAAUAUUGGUCAAUGGGCGGAAGCCUGAACCAGCCAAGUAGCGUGAAGGAUGACGG